rnacentral:rRNA from 1 species
GAUUCCCCUAGUAACUGCGAGUGAAGCGGGAAAAGCUCAAAUUUAAAAUCUGGCAGCUUUGGUUGCCCGAGUUGUAGUCUGGAGAAGCGUUUUCUGUGCUGGACCGUGUACAAGUCUCUUGGAACAGAGCGUCAUAGAGGGUGAGAAUCCCGUCUUUGAUACGGACUGCCAGUGCUUUGUGAUGCGCUCUCAAAGAGUCGAGUUGUUUGGGAAUGCAGCUCAAAAUGGGUGGUAAAUUCCAUCUAAAGCUAAAUAUUGGCGAGAGACCGAUAGCGAACAAGUACCGUGAGGGAAAGAUGAAAAGCACUUUGGAAAGAGAGUUAAACAGUACGUGAAAUUGCUGAAAGGGAAACGCUUGAAGUCAGUCGCGUUGUCCAGAACUCAGCCUGGCUUUUGCCUGGUGCAUUUUCUGGUUAACGGGCCAGCAUCAAUUUUGACCGCUGGAUAAAGGCCUUGGGAAUGUGGCUCUCUCGGGAGUGUUAUAGCCCAUGGUUGCAUACAGCGGUUGGGAUUGAGGAUCUCAGCAUGCCUUUAUGGUCGGGGUUCGCCCACGUUCAUGCUUAGGAUGC